rnacentral:rRNA from 1 species
AACGAACGCUGGCGGCAUGCCUAACACAUGCAAGUCGAACGAUUGCCUUCGGGUGAUAGUGGCGCACGGGUGCGUAACGCGUGGGAAUCUGCCCUUAGGUUCGGAAUAACAGCUGGAAACGGCUGCUAAUACCGGAUGAUAUCGCGAGAUCAAAGAUUUAUCGCCUGAGGAUGAGCCCGCGUUGGAUUAGGUAGUUGGUGGGGUAAAGGCCUACCAAGCCGACGAUCCAUAGCUGGUCUGAGAGGAUGAUCAGCCACACUGGGACUGAGACACGGCCCAGACUCAUACGGGAGGCAGCAGUGGGGAAUAUUGGACAAUGGGCGCAAGCCUGAUCCAGCAAUGCCGCGUGAGUGAUGAAGGCCCUAGGGUUGUAAAGCUCUUUUACCCGGGAAGAUAAUGACUGUACCGGGAGAAUAAGCCCCGGCUAACUCCGUG